AAUAGCCUAACGGCUGAACCAGCAACUUGGAGGAAUGUAUAGCAAUAGCUACUUGCAUCAUUGUAAAGAUGAUGCAAGAUCGACUAUGUCGAAUAAAAUUCUAGGUAGAAUUAUGAUAAUGACAUUGUCUGCCUAUGUGUCUUGACCAAAUUACGUGCCAGCAGUCGCGGUAAUACGUAGAAGACUAGUGUUAUUCAUGUUUAAUCGGUUUAAAGGGUACCUAGACGGCAAAUCAAGCCUAUAAAGAAGGGACUAAUUUGCUAGAGUUACUUACGAGGGGGUAUUAAAGUACUGCUGGUGUAGAGAUGAAAUUCUGUCAUACCUCUUUUCGAAAGAAAAAUAACGGCACAGGUAAAGGCGAAAGCAUCCCCUUAUGUGAUAACUGACGUUGAGGGACGAAGGCUUUGUGUAGCGAACAGGAUUAGAUACCCCAGUAGUCAAAGCAGAAAAUGAUGAGUGUCAUAGAUUAGAUAAAUAAGUUUAUUCUAUAAAUGAAAGUGUAAGCAUUCCACCUCAAGAGUAAUUUGGCAACAUUGGAACUGAAAUCAUUAGACCGUUUCUGAAACCAGUAGUGAAGUAUGUUGUUUAAUUUGAUAAUCCGCAAAAAACCUUACCACAAUUUGAAUAUUUAUAUUAUUUAUUGUUUUUUUUUCGAAUUUAUUUUUUUUCGAAUAUCGAAUAAUUAAAAUGUAAAUAAAAGAAAGAGGCAAUAAAAUAUAUUUACAAGCGUUGCACGGCUGUCUUCAGUUAAUGUCGCGAGACUCUGGUUAGUUCCAUUAAAUUAACGUAAACCCUUACUUUAUUUUUAUAUAGAGUAGUUCCCCGCUAUAUUGGAUAUGAUAACAGGGACUAGGACAAGUCAUCAUGGCCUAAAUAUUGUGGGCUAUAGACGUGCCACGUAAGCCUUACAAAAGGGUGUGAAAUUGCGAAAUUGAGCUAAUCCCCCAAAACUGGAUA
rnacentral:rRNA from 1 species